CGAAAGCCUGACGGAGCAACGCCGCGUGAGGGAUGGAGGCCUUUGGGCUGUAAACCUCUUUUCUCAAGGAAGAAGAUCUGACGGUACUUGAGGAAUAAGCCACGGCUAAUUCCGUGCCAGCAGCCGCGGUAAUACGGGAGUGGCAAGCGUUAUCCGGAAUUAUUGGGCGUAAAGCGUCCGCAGGCGGCCGUUUAAGUCUGUUGUUAAAUCGUGGAGCUCAACUCCAUCACGGCAAUGGAAACUGUUCGGCUUGAGUAUGGUAGGGGCAGAGGGAAUUUCCGGUGUAGCGGUGAAAUGCGUAGAUAUCGGGAAGAACACCAGUGGCGAAAGCGCUCUGCUGGGCCAUUACUGACGCUCAUGGACGAAAGCCAGGGGAGCGAAAGGGAUUAGAUACCCCUGUAGUCCUGGCCGUAAACGAUGAACACUAGAUGUUGGGGGAAUCGACCCCCUCGGUGUCGUAGCUAACGCGUUAAGUGUUCCGCCUGGGGAGUACGCACGCAAGUGUGAAACUCAAAGGAAUUGACGGGGGCCCGCACAAGCGGUGGAGUAUGUGGUUUAAUUCGAUGCAACGCGAAGAACCUUACCAAGGCUUGACAUCCUGCGAAUCUCUAAGAAAUUAGAGAGUGCCUUCGGGAACGCAGUGACAGGUGGUGCAUGGCUGUCGUCAGCUCGUGUCGUGAGAUGUUGGGUUAAGUCCCGCAACGAGCGCAACCCACGUUUUUAGUUGCCAGCAUUCAGUUGGGCACUCUAGAAAGACUGCCGGUGACAAACCGGAGGAAGGUGUGGACGACGUCAAGUCAUCAUGCUCCUUACGCCUUGGGCUACACACGUACUACAAUGCUGCGGACAAAGAGUAGCGAUCUUGCGAAAGUUAGCUAAUCUCAUAAACCGUGGCUCAGUUCAGAUCGUAGGCUGCAACUCGCCUACGUGAAGGAGGAAUCGCUAGUAAUCGCAGGUCAGCAUACUGCGGUGAAUACGUUCCCGGGCCUUGUACACACCGCCCGUCACACCAUGGAAGUUGGCCAUGCCCGAAGUCGUUACUCUAACCUUUUGGAAGAGGGCGCCGAAGGCAGGGCUAAUGACUGGGGUGAAGUCGUAACAAGGUAGCCGUAGCGGAAGCUGCGGCUGGAUCACCUCCUAA
rnacentral:rRNA from 1 species